rnacentral:rRNA from 1 species
GACGAACGCUGGCGGCGUGCUUAACACAUGCAAGUCGAACGAUGAAGGAGAGCUUGCUCUUUGGAUUAGUGGCGAACGGGUGAGUAACACGUGAGUAACCUGCCCUGGACUCUGGGAUAACUGCGGGAAACUGUAGCUAAUACCGGAUAUGACCUUGGAUCGCAUGAUUCUUGGUGGAAAGUUUUUCGGUCUGGGAUGGA